AACCUAGCACACCUGCGGUGUGUACCUGCGGAGGGAUCAUUAACGAAUUGUAAGAACUUGGCUGUCGCUGGCUUUCUUUUGCAUGUGCACGCCUUGUUCAAAACUUUUCAAACUUUACCUCCUGUGCACUUUUGUGAAUCGUAGACUUGGAUAUAUGCGUCAAAGUAACAUUUGGUUUGGGGGGAUUUUGGACAUUAGUUCAUCCUCCCGCAUCUGUCUGCGGUUCAUGUCUUUAUUACA
rnacentral:misc_RNA from 1 species